AAACUUUCAACAACGGAUCUCUUGGUUCUCGCAUCGAUGAAGAACGCAGCGAAACGCGAUAGUUAAUGUGAAUUGCAGAAUUCAGUGAAUCAUCGAGUCUUUGAACGCACAUUGCGCCCGUUGGCAUUCCGACGGGCACGUCUGUCUGAACGUCAUC
rnacentral:rRNA from 1 species